rnacentral:rRNA from 1 species
GUAGGGAAUAUUGGGCAAUGGUCGGAAGACUGACCCAGCCAUGCCGCGUGCAGGAAGACGGCCCUCUGGGUUGUAAACUGCUUUUAUCUGGGAAGAAAAAGGCCAUGCGUGGCAAAUUGCCGGUACCAGAUGAAUAAGCACCGGCUAACUCCGUGCCAGCAGCCGCGGUAAUACGGAGGGUGCGAGCGUUGUCUGGAUUUAUUGGGGUUAAAGGGUGCGUAGGCGGCUGGUUAAGUCAGCGGUGAAAGACUUCGGCUUAACCGGAGCAGUGCCGUUGAUACUGGUUGGCUGGAGUGUCGGAGGGGUACAUGGAAUUGAUGGUGUAGCGGUGAAAUGCAUAGAUACCAUCAGGAACACCGAUAGCGAAGGCAUUGUACUGGCCGACAACUGACGCUGAUGCACGAAAGUGUGGGGAUCGAACAGGAUUAGAUACCCCGGUAGUCC